ensembl:lncRNA
GCUAGACGAGCGGCCGCGCAGAGGCCGGGCCCGCGCCGUCCCCGCGCUCGCCCGCCCGUCCGCCCGUCCGCCCACCCGGCGGCUCCCAUUGUGCCCCAGGCCCGCGCCGCUCCGCCGUCCUGUGACCGCCUGCGCCCCGCAGCGCGCCCGACGGCCGGCCGCUGGAAGUUCGGGCCCGCGGCGCACGCCCUGCCGCCCCGGGAUGCACGUGAACUUGGAGAAAGUCUCGGGGCGCGCCGGCGCAGACCUCCGCGGCAGGGCGUGGGCGCCCCUGGCCCCGCGCGCUUUCGUUUUCGUCUGGGACAAAGGUCCCUCGCGGCGCAGGUCGCGGACGUGGAGGCAGUGCCCUGCGGGCCACUCAGCGGGGAGGUCCGGUCGUUCAGUCAAGGGAAGCCGGAGCCUGGAGAAGACGAGCCGCGCGGUCGGAGGCGCGGUGCGGGACCAGGACAGUGGGGCCUGGCCGUGCGCUUCGCCCUGGCGGUCCAGGAGCUGUCUCGCCCUCCGAAGAGUUACGGGAGGUGGCACUGCUUUUGCUCUCUGCCCUUUCGACACGUGAAGGAGAGAAUCAUUCGGAACCCAGGACUCAGACCGGUGGCCGAGGGCCUGUGCAGCCGCGAGCACGACAGCGCAGCGCUGGCCGCGUCCGCGCGCGUUCCUCCGACAAGGGCAGAGCAGUCGACCAGCGCGCCCCAGUCUCGAUCGGGUUCAAGGCGACUCUUGAGGACGGUGUGGGGCUUUGAAAGUACAAUCCUGCAUGGCCUUACUGUGAAUGGAUGGGCACUUUGUCUCGGUCCGGAUGCAGGAGUCCUGCCUUUAGAGGCAGCUCAGAAGCCCUGUGGAUGGAUCGUACGAGCGCCCCGGCCCAGCCCACUUGCAGCCAGUGGUAGGAGGCUUGCCGAGCAGAGAUGUGACCGGCCGAGACUGCGGUUAUUAUCGCCAAAUGAGACUGGUAGUUGUGGUUAGAAAUGGUGUGCCCGGGACACACAGAGUAAAGCCCAAUUUUUCUCUUUCUUUUUUGGGAGUAAUAGAAUUUUCCCUUGAGAUUAAAGGAAGGAGGCUGUCCCGAGGCCUUUGGUUUCCAGCGCCGGGGCUGGGUUUUCCUGUGAAUCACCGUUCCUUGAUUCUGAGAUUUCGGAGGGUACGAAGAAGAGCAGCUAGCUGAAAGAUUUACCUGCUGAUUUGGGCUUCUUAAAUCUAGAUUCGCCUUUUAUGUGUUUAAGAGCGAUAUUUACAUUCAAAUCAGCCUUUUAUAAUUGCAUUUUAAAUUAUAAUGAAAUGAUGGAGCCGGGGCUGCGGUCUUCCCUAGGUUUUUACAGUACGAGCCACUCUGCUGGGCUGCAUGUCACAUUC